rnacentral:rRNA from 1 species
AUACGUAGGUGACAAGCGUUAUCCGGAUUUACUGGGCGUAAAGGGCGUGUAGGCGGUCUUGCAAGUCAGAAGUGAAAUUCCUGAGCUCAACUCGGGCGCUGCUUCUGAAACUGCAGGACUUGAGUGCUGGAGGGGAUAGCGGAAUUCCUAGUGGAGCGGUAAAAUGCGCAGAUAUUAGGAAGAACACCGGUGGCGAAGGCGGCUAUCUGGACAGUAACUGACGCUGAGGCGCGAAAGCGUGGGGAGCAAACAGGAUUAGAUACCCUGGUAGUCCACACUGUAAACGAUGAAUGCUAGGUGUAGGGGGUAUCGACCCCUUCUGUGCCGCAGUAAACACAAUAAGCAUUCCGCCUGGGGAGUACGGCCGCAAGGUUGAAACUCAAAUGAAUUGGCGGGG